GAGAAUACCAGAUAGCGGGGAGUCCUUCAGCCGGACAAAGAAGGAGCAGACAAGGGAGACAGCUGUGUGUGACCCAAAGCUCGGAGGCCAGCCCGACCCAGCUAACCCACGGUGCUGAGAUUGAAUUUAGGGGCCUUGCACGUCUGGUCAAUCACUCCAGGACUGAUCUCCAUCCCUGUCUCUGGUUCUUGUAGUUCGCCGGUCUCACUGAGAAGCACAGUCUGCAGGGUCCCGAGUGGCCUUUCUGCCUCUGUCCUGUCCUCUCAGUGAUGGCAGCCUUGAAACUGUCUUCUGAGUUAUGGCAGCUACGCCCACAGGACUGGGUGACCCAGUGGGUAAGCCAGGCCUGGGAGAAACGUGGAAGGGGUGAGCGAAGGGCUCCAAGUAGAGAACUGGGAGCGGGUGCCGGGCCAGGGCUGUGGGUAAGUCCAGAGCUUUAGUACGACUGUCCUGUGCUCACCCACAAUAGCACGAGCACCCUUCUUGUGCCACGCCGUGGGCGCUUACUUUUCAGAGUGGUUUCUGGGCAGAGCUAUUUUGGCCUUUGCUUUUCACAUCAGAAAGCUGAUAGAGACAGAUAAGAAGUUUGUAGGUUCGAAGUGGCAAGGCCCAGGCUUGGGGGGUUGGAGCUUCGUUCCGACUGCCAAGUCUAGGCUUUGUCACCUCUCUCUUUGGGUAAGCGUUUAACUUUGUUGUCCUUAUGAAGCAGGUAAGCUAGUACUGACCUCUUUGAGUUUCCACGAGGAAGAAAUGACCAAAACUUGCACAGGAGGAGCUUGGGAAUUAUCAGUUGUGGUCAUGAUGGUUUUGCCCAGGGUCAGACAUGGGAGGGUAGAAGAGCUCUGGGCUUUCUAAGAGUUUUCCUUUUUAAAACAGGAAAGACCAGAAGACUGAUAUGCACCCUGUGGUGUCCUUGCAGCUGUUAUGUGGAGUUUUGAGCACUGGGUAGGAGAUUCAUGAGUUUGUAAAAUGUCACUUCCUGUCCUCAAGAGGAAGCAGAUGGUCACAUAAACCUAGGUGUGAUUCUUGGGUGUCAGUCUUCGGAGUCAUUCUCCUGGGACUCUCCCUUGGACCUGGGGCUCCUCCCUCCAUUAGGUUGGCCUGGCUGGCCAGUGAGGUCUGAGGAUCUGCCUGCCUCUGCCUCUCCUGAGCUGGGAUUACAAAUGCCUGCCACCACACCCAGCUUCUGACGUGGGCACAGGGGAUCAGACUCGGAUCCUUGUUCUCAUUCCACUGACUUUGCUAUUUCCCUCUCCCAUCCUGUCCCUUCUACUUCUUUUAUUUUCUGUCUUUGUUGCUGUGCAUAUUGUGCUACUUGAGAGAUAAAAUGCCUCUCCCGGCACGGGGCUCCAGGUCCCCAGCAGAGAGCUAUAUCACACCUUCUUCUUGCUCAGCACGGUUGGCAGGUUAUGGCUCUGUGCGUGUGUGCGUGGAGCCUACCGAGAACCCAGACAUUCGGAACGUCUGAGGGCUGCGAGGCACCCACUGGUGAU
ensembl:lncRNA